GACGAACGCUGGCGGCGCGCCUAACACAUGCAAGUCGAACGAGCGAGAGAGAGCUUGCUUUCUCGAGCGAGUGGCGAACGGGUGAGUAACGCGUGAGGAACCUGCCUCAAAGAGGGGGACAACAGUUGGAAACGACUGCUAAUACCGCAUAAGCCCACGGGUCGGCAUCGACCAGAGGGAAAAGGAGCAAUCCGCUUUGAGAUGGCCUCGCGUCCGAUUAGCUAGUUGGUGAGGUAACGGCCCACCAAGGCAACGAUCGGUAGCCGGACUGAGAGGUUGAACGGCCACAUUGGGACUGAGACACGGCCCAGACUCCUACGGGAGGCAGCAGUGGGGGAUAUUGCGCAAUGGGGGAAACCCUGACGCAGCAACGCCGCGUGAAGGAUGAAGGUCUUCGGAUUGUAAACUUCUUUAUUAAGGACGAAGAAAGUGACGGUACUUAAUGAAUAAGCCCCGGCUAACUACGUG
rnacentral:rRNA from 1 species